rnacentral:ncRNA from 2 species
CAUAAUUAGUCGGGGAGCCCAAAUUCUGUUGAACCAGAGGGCUGAGACCACGUCGGUGGGACCCGUUGAACCUGAUUCAGUUAAUACUGACGUAGGGAACUAGUGUCAUGCCUGU